AACACAUGCAAGUCGAGCGCUCGUAGCAAUACGGGAGCGGCAGACGGGAGAGUAACACGUGGGAACGUACCCUUCGGUUCGGAAUAACCCAGGGAAACUUGGGCUAAUACCGGAUACGUCCGUAAGGAGAAAGAUUUAUCGCCGAGGGAUCGGCCCGCGUCCGAUUAGCUAGUUGGUGAGGUAAUGGCUCACCAAGGCGACGAUCGGUAGCUGGUCUGAGAGGAUGAUCAGCCUCACUGGGACUGAGACACGGCCCAGACUCCUACGGGAGGCAGCAGUGGGGAAUAUUGGACAAUGGGCGCAAGCCUGAUCCAGCCAUGCCGCGUGGGUGAUGAAGGCCUUAGGGUUGUAAAGCCCUUUCGGCGGGGAAGAUAAUGACGGUACCCGCAGAAGAAGCCCCGGCUAACUUCGUGCCAGCAGCCGCGGUAAUACGAAGGGGGCUAGCGUUGCUCGGAAUCACUGGGCGUAAAGCGCACGUAUGCGGGUCCUUAAGUCAGGGGUGAAAUCCUGGAGCUCAACUCCAGAACUGCCUUUGAUACUG
rnacentral:rRNA from 1 species